GCCAGGCAUGGUGGCACGUGCCUGUAGUCCCAGCUACUCGGGAGGCUGAGGCAGGAGAAUCGCUUGAACCCAGGAGGCGGGGGUUGCAAUGAGCCGAGAUCAUGCCAUUGCACUCCAGCCUGGGUGACAGAGUGAGAUUCUGUCUCAA
rnacentral:SRP_RNA from 1 species